UACGUAGGGUCCGAGCGUUGUCCGGAAUUAUUGGGCGUAAAGAGCUCGUAGGCGGUUUGUCGCGUCUGCUGUGAAAUCCCGAGGCUCAACCUCGGGCCUGCAGUGGGUACGGGCAGACUGGAGUGCGGCAGGGGAGAAUGGAAUUCCUGGUGUAGCGGUGAAAUGCGCAGAUAUCAGGAGGAACACCGGUGGCGAAGGCGGGUCUCUGGGCCGAUACUGACGCUGAGGAGCGAAAGCGUGGGGAGCAAACAGG
rnacentral:rRNA from 1 species